UUUAUUUUAGCUGAACAGAGAAUAAAGAGGCCCCAGGGAGGCACCCUCAGAACACUGAGACUGAAAUGAAAAAGAUGAAAUUCAUCUCAUAAAACUUGAUCAGCAAUAAGAUGAGUCAUGUCACAGACAGGACCAAAGAAGGAAGAGCAGAGACCAGCAGAAAGGACUGUAAGUUCAACUGUGCUGCCUGCCUGACCCAGAGACCUGUUUGCUGGUGGACCCCAGGGCCAGCAUGCCUGCUGAUAUCCCUGUGUGCUUUUCUGGUUUGUUUUGGGGGGACCUGGCAAGAUGGAGGGCAGAGUCUCUGGGACCUCCAGAGCCUUUGCAAAAGGAUAGAGCAAAAAGCAGGGUGCUUUGUGGAGAACAAUCUUCUCCUCACUCCUAGAGUUGAGCCUAGGUAUGGUAAUGAGACCAGAGAGAGGGCCUGAGUGCUAGAUGGGUUCUAGUGUCCGCUGCUGCCACAUACAAGGAGCACCUACUCUGUGCAAGUAUCACACUCAGAGCCAGCCUGCUGGGAGAGGCAGGCUCACACAUCCACCUCCAGGGCCUUUGGCUCUAGCCACAUGAAAAGAAUGAAGUGGAUCACCGCUGAGCAUGUGCUCCAUACAAGGGAUUGUACUGUUUCUCUUUUAUUUGUAGAGAAAUAUGAGGUGCUUGUUCAUGGCUACAGAGUUAGAAGGAGGUUAAGUCAACACUCAGGCCCAGGUUGGUCUUUCUUCAAGUUCACCUUCUUCCCAUUUUGCUCAGUAAGAUCAGCUUUGGAGGCAUGGAGUCACUUUUCCAAGUCUCUAGGUGAGAACCUGCUGUGUUUUAACUUUCUGCAGGAAGGUGGGGGAGAUCAAAUGAUUGCUGCUCUUUCUACCACCACAUCCUGAUGUGAAGCACUUUGUACCCAUUUAGUUCAGCUCAAGUCAGUUCAUCAUUUUUAAGCACUCACUGGCACCAGGCACUGUGCUGGUCAGUAGAACCCAGACAUGCACCUUUGCUGUUAUGAAGGACACAGUGACAUUUCACCAUUGUAACCAGACUUCCCAAUGAGAGUU
rnacentral:lncRNA from 1 species